CUCAACGAGAGACUCGGUGAAAUUAUAGUACCUGUGAAGAUGCAGGUUACCCGCGACAGGACGGAAAGACCCCGUGGAGCUUUACUGCAGCCUGAUAUUGAAUGUUGGUACAGCUUGUACAGGAUAGGUAGGAGCCUUGGAAACCGGAGCGCUAGCUUCGGUGGAGGCAUCGGUGGGAUACUACCCUGGCUGUAUUGACCUUCUAACCCGCUGCCCUUAUCGGGCAGGGAGACAGUGUCAGGUGGGCAGUUUGACUGGGG
rnacentral:rRNA from 1 species